GACGAACGCUGGCGGCGUGCUUAACACAUGCAAGUCGAACGGAAAGGCCCUGCUUUUGUGGGGUGCUCGAGUGGCGAACGGGUGAGUAACACGUGAGUAACCUGCCCUUGACUUUGGGAUAACUUCAGGAAACUGGGGCUAAUACCGGAUAGGAGCUCCUGCUGCAUGGUGGGGGUUGGAAAGUUUCGGCGGUUGGGGCUGGACUCGCGGCUUAUCAGCUUGUUGGUGGGGUAGUGGCUUACCAAGGCUUUGACGGGUAGCCGGCCUGAGAGGGUGACCGGCCACAUUGGGACUGAGGUACGGCCCAGACUCCUACGGUAGGCAGCAGUGGGGAAUAUUGCACAAUGGGCGGAAGCCUGAUGCAGCAACGCCGCGUGCGGGAUGACGGCCUUCGGGUUGUAAACCGCUUUCGCCGGUGACGAAGCGUGAGUGACGGUAAUGGGUAAAGAAGCACCGGCUAACUACGUG
rnacentral:rRNA from 1 species